AUUGAACGCUGGCGGCAGGCCUAACACAUGCAAGUCGAACGAGUGGCGGACGGGUGAGUAAUGUCUGGGAAACUGCCUGAUGGAGGGGGAUAACUACUGGAAACGGUAGCUAAUACCGCAUACCAUCAGAUGUGCCCAGAUGGGAUUAGCUUGUUGGUGGGGUAACGGCUCACCAAGGCGACGAUCCCUAGCUGGUCUGAGAGGAUGACCAGCAACACUGGAACUGAGACACGGUCCAGACUGCGACGGGAGGCAGCAGUGGGGAAUAUUGCACAAGGGGCGAAAGCGUGAUGCAGCAAUGCCGGGGGUAUGAAGAAGGCCGUCGGGUUGUAAAGUACUUUCAGGGGGGAGGCGUUACCCGCAGAAGAAGCACCGGCUAACUCCGUGCCAGCAGCCGCGGUAAUUC
rnacentral:rRNA from 1 species